rnacentral:tRNA from 1 species
UGGGAUGUGGCUCAGUCAUAGAGCACUUGCCUGGCACUCAUGAAAUCCUGGAUUUGAUUCCCAGCACUGCAA